CCCCCUUUCCAAUAAAAAUGGUGGCACAUCAGCCUCCGCCAUAUAAACAGAGGCGAGCAGCGAGCACCACUUCAGGCAGGCCCGUGGGCACGUCAGCUAGAAGCUUUACGGCAUACAGGUCUCAGGAACAGUAUUCUGUUAGUGGCUGUACAUGGAAACAGGAAAACAAGUAUCUAGUUAUCUUCGAAAUAAAACACUGCCUUUCGAUGGCUACGCCGAGAUUUCAUUUCGAGAAAAUUCAUACUAAGGAUGCAUCUCUCUUAUAUGAAAUUUCACUCUAUGUUCUAUAACUGAAGAAUGUAUUUGGUUUAGCUGCUGUCGAAUCCAAUAUCGAAUGGUUGAAACUUUUUACC